AAUAUCAAUUGCUCUCUAGAAAAAUGUAUUUUUCUUAGUUAUCAUUAUUUUUAUGCUUAUCAUUCAUUGAAAUAUUUUAAAUUAUAAAUCAGUUAUUUUGUUGGAAUAUUAAAAUUAAUUUUUGACUAUUUAAACGUUAUUAUUGUGUCUAUAGUUUUUACUUAAUGGUCAAGAGAAAUCGAAUUGUCUGGAUAAAUUCUUCAACAUGUUUGUUUCGCGAGGAGAGAUUUCGAAAUUAGAAAUACAGUGGUCACCAAUACAUGAAAAUAAAUUUAUUACAUGGGGACCUGAUAUACGGAUGUAUGAAGUAACAUCUGUUCCAGAAAAUUACAAAAAUCAUGAUGUUCCUAAAGGUGUAAUAUUAUCUUCAAAUACUAUAGCCAAUCUUGUAGCCACAAGUACAAACCAUCGUUAUGUGAAAUGUAUUGAUAUUUAUCCAAAACCUGAAUCAGAAAUAAUGUUAGCUAUUGGGCACGCAAAUGGAAAAAUAUCAUUUUGUAAUUUUGGAUUGGCUAGUAAUAAUAGCAAUAAUAUAUUAGCAGGACUUGAAUUAGGGCCAAGUUCACGUUUUGCUAGGCAAUGUAAUUCUAUUUCAUGGAAUCCAGUUAAUUAUAAUUUAUUAGCCUGUGGAUUAGAUAAACAUCGUUCUGAUCAAUGUGUACAAAUAUGGGAUGUAGAAAAAAGUCCAUUAAUGAAUGCGGAUUUAACAGCAGCUAGACCAUUUUUUGAGUAUGGAAUAGGUGAAACAGCUCAUUCAAUAGCAUGGUUUAAUUCAUCUCCUCAUGUUUUAGCUGUGAGUUGCAACAAUAAGCAAAUUCGUUGUGUAGAUAUUAGAGAUGCAUCUCGUUCUACAAAUACAGCACACACUAGAGCGGUGUUUGGUAUUGAUAUUGCGGCUUACAAUAAUAAUCAUAUUGUAUCUUAUAAUGAUAAUAGUAUUGUGCUAUGGGAUUCACGACAUUUAGAAAAACCUGUUGUAACUCUUAUUCAGAGCAAAAGUAUUAUCAAAGUUCAAUGGUGUCCAACUAGACAUAAUUUAUUGGGAUCAUUACAAAAAGAUACAAUGGCUAUUAGUCUACAUGACAUGCAACAAAGUAUGGAGGAAGCUGAACCAUCAGCUUUAGAAAGAACUGUACAUCCCGGACAAGGAAAUAUUCACUUAGCAUCAUUUUCUUGGCAUCCAAUCCAUGAAAAUAGAUUAUUGGCUAUUUCCCAAACUGGUAUUAUGAAUGAUUACUGGGUAUUUGAAAGAAUGACAUUGAAUUGGUCUACUACAUCAAAUAUAGUAUGGACUUAUGGACAAAAUAAUCUUAAAUUUAUUAGUGAUAAAGACUUGAUAUACUCAUCUUUUGAAGAUGUAUCUAUUGCAAUAAAAAUGCGAGCAUUUUCUCAAUAUGGUAUCAAAGAUUUUGUUGAAAAUGCUAAACUUGUUGAUGAUCCUAUCAUAAAAAAUGUUUGGUCUUGGUUAGAUUUAAACAGAAGAGUUACUAAAACUGGUCUUGUUCCCACAACUUCAGAUAUACCAUUUCCUGGUAUAAAAACUGUUUUGGGUUUAGAAUCUACAACAACAAUAUUAAAGUCUGAAUUAAAACAUGUGCAAUGGGUUGACAUCCAAGGAACUGUGAAAACCUAUCGAAGUUUAGCUAGAGAUCAUGCCCUAUAUUUGUGUGAUUGGGGCUUUGACCGUAACAAUGUGUCUCAUAUAUCUAAUUUAUUAAGAAAAUUAGAAAAUGAAAAUUCUUACACAAGAGCAGCUUCAAUAGCAAUAUUCAAUUUACGUAUGCGUGAUGCUAUUGAAACAUUAAAUAAAGGAGCUAAUCAGUUACCUCAUCUAAGCAUGAUUGCAAUGGCUCUAUCAGGUUAUAGCCCAGAUAAAUAUAGUAUGUGGCGAGAACUGUGCUCAAAAACUAGGGAAAAGUUAACUGAUCCUUAUUUACGAGCAGCUUUUGCUUUUUUGACUACUGAUUCGGAUUCACAUGAUGCAGUUUUGAAUGAAAUUGGUAUACCAUUAGAAGACAGAAUUGCAUUUGCUUGUAUUUUUUUAUCUGACACAAAGUUAAUUGAAUAUAUAAACAAUAUAACUGAAAAAUUAUUGGAUCAAGGCAAUUUAUCUGCUAUAUUUUUAAUAGGAUCAUCUCCUGAAAUAGUUCCUUUAUUACAAAGAUAUUUGGAUAAUACAGGUGAUAUACAGACUGUUAGUAUUUUAGUUUUAAAAACAAUCCCCUGUGAUAUUGUCCAUGAACAUCCUAAUAUGAUGAAUUGGAUAAACAGUUAUAGAGAAAUGUUAGAUGAAUGGCGUAUGUGGCAUAUUAGAGCCAAAUUUGACAUAGCUCUAAAAGCUGUAAAACCUCCUCCACAGAAUGUAUUUCUAUCAUGUAAUUAUUGUGGUAAAAAUAUUUGCCCGACUGCUGAUGAAAGAGAAAAAGAUUCGGAAAAGGAAGUAAAAGUUCAAAGAAUAAAAGAUCAAGGCAUUGAAAAUGGAUCCAAUAAUUUAAAAUUUACAGCAUGUCCUAAUUGUCAAAGUCCAUUACCUCGGUGUGCAUUGUGUUUAGCACAUCUAGGAACUGCUAGUGCUAAAAUUCCAAUACGAAAAAAUUCUAACAAACAGUUGUCAAACAGCUCUUACAUGAUGACAGGACAAGGAGUAAAUAAUUUUUCAUAUUGGUUUUCUUGGUGUCCAACCUGUAACCAUGGUGGUCAUUCAAAUCAUAUUACUGAUUGGUUCAGCAAUCUUUCCAUGCUCCAUGAGAUGUAUUUCAAUAGGGUGUGCACGGCGUCAUUUGUACUGAGAAAUGUUUGCAUUAUUGGUGGUCUAGAGCUUUGUCGAUCUUAAGUAGAGAUCUGUGGGCCAAUUAUUAAUGAUUAAGUACUGAAAAGAUCAACACAAUUAAUUAAAGUCUUGAAGACGCUAGCACUUUUUUUGACGUCGACGACGUGGUAUCUGGCAUGAUCCUCAGGCGUCAAGAUAUUAGAUAGAAGGCGACGUUGCAGUAGCCCAAAUCCUUGAAAUCAUUUAGAAUGUCCAGUUGCUGAUUGUGUUUGCCGAUGUUAUUCCUUGGAUUCUACUAGCCGUUAUUCUUCCUUAUAAGAACAACUCAUCAAAUCUUUUUUCUAUAUAUUUAUAAGAAAAAAUGGAUAGAUUCAAUUUAAUAUGCC